UUUAUCAAUCUAAAGGAAUAUUUCAAAAGCAUCAGUUGCCAUUGAUGGAUGAUGUCAAAUUUAAAAAUCUGAUUAAUUGUUCAGGGACGUAGUGUGACAUCUUCAAAUUAUAAAUCUUUUUUAUUGUUAGGUCUUGGAAAAACAUGUACGGUAGGUUUUAUUAGUUGCAUAGGACUUCAUAGACAUUUUGUGUUUAUUGGUUCAUAGAUUCCUUCAAAUCUGUUGAAAGACUGCAAAGCUCUCUAGACUACUUAUCUUAAUGACAAUCCUAUUUAUAUGGAUCAAUUUCAGCAGGUAAGUUACAGUUCUCUGGAUCAAUUUCAGCAAAGCAAAUGUCUAUUUCUAUGGAUCAAUUUUAGCAGGCAUAAAAGCAAAAAUGGUGAUAGAUCGUCUCUUUCUCUGGGGAGGCACCAUUUUGGAUACUGCUGCAGCAGUUGUGCUUAGAUGUAUGUUUAUUUUGACUAUUGGCAUCCCAUUCUUUUUGUCAAAUGUUUAUUAGUUAUGCUUUUAAAAACCAUCUCCGAUUAAAUUUUCGGCAUCCAAGACCAGGAUGCACCUCAAAUCCCUUCCCUUUCUUUUUAGGCUGUAAAACAUUUUGGUGCCACUGCAUCACCUUGUAGACAAGAGAUCAUUAGGAAUUGACCCAAGCAAAAUGAGAAUUAGUAUUUGAAAGCUUUGAGCAAGCAGAUCCUUCAACAACUAGAUUGUGAGCAGCAAAAUGUAUAUAGAGACCCCAUAAUUGUAUGACUCUCAACAAUUGACUUAAAAGUUAUACAUA